GUUUAAAAUAAAUUUAAGCUGAGCAAGCCCGAUCCUGUCUGAUUUCGGAAGCUAAACAGGGUUGGCCUGGUUAGUAUUUGGAUGGGAGACCACCUAGGAAGACCAGGUGCUGUAGGCG
rnacentral:rRNA from 1 species